rnacentral:misc_RNA from 1 species
GAAAUGCGAUAAGUAAUGUGAAUUGCAGAAUUCAGUGAAUCAUCGAAUCUUUGAACGCACAUUGCGCCUAUUAGUAUUCUAGUAGGCGUGCCUGUUCGAGCGUCAUUUCAACCCUCAAGCCCUGGUUGCUUGGUGUUGGGGACCUGCGGCUGCCCGCAGGCCCUGAAAACCAGUGGCGGGCUCGCUGUCACACCGAGCGUAGUAGCAAUCACCUCGCUCAGGGCGUGCUGCGGGUUCCGGCCGUUAAACAGCCUUACAAAACCCAAGGUUGACCUCGGAUCAGGUAGGAAGACCCGCUGAACUUAAGC